rnacentral:rRNA from 1 species
GACGAACGCUGGCGGCGUGCUUAACACAUGCAAGUCGAACGGAAAGGCCCUGCUUUUGUGGGGUGCUCGAGUGGCGAACGGGUGAGUAACACGUGAGUAACCUGCCCUUGACUUUGGGAUAACUUCAGGAAACUGGGGCUAAUACCGGAUAGGAGCUCCUGCUGCAUGGUGGGGGUGGGAAAGUUUCGGCGGUUGGGGGUGGACUCGCGGCGUAUCAGCUUGUUGGUGGGGUAGUGGCUUACCAAGGCUUUGACGGGUAGCCGGCCUGAGAGGGUGACAGGCCACAUUGGGACUGAGCUGCGGCCCAGCCUCCUACGGGAGGCAGCAGUGGGGAAUAGUGUACAAUGGGCGGAAGCCUGACGCAGCCCCGCCGCGUGGGGGAUGACGGCCUUCGGGUUGUAAAGCGCUUUCGCCUGUGACGAAGCGUGAGUGACGGUAAUGGGUAAAGAAGCACCGGCUAACUCCGUG